AGUUACUUCUUUAAGAAAAGAAGUCUUUAUUUCAAUUACAAAAAAGGUUCUGGGGCAGGAGUUCAUCUGAUGGACAGGUCUCCAGAUCUAAGAGAUAUAAUUGUAGACCGGCAUACAGAUCCUCUCUAUCAAAGAGAAAGUGGUGUCUUGGUGGCUCCUGCCCCAGGAACUACAAAAAAAAAAAACCAUGAGUUCUUCAACAGAAGACUCUGACCUUAAUCUACCGAGAACUGGCCAGAUUCACCUUGAUGGAGGACCUCAGCGCACCUCACCGGACGACGACCCUCGUAAUCUGUGCUUGGGCUGGAUGGGAAGAUGUGGAGAUUACAAAAAUAAAGUAGUAACCGCGAAACAUAUAAUUAAACUAAUUCAAGAAACUGAGUUUAUCAUAAAACAUUAUCUAGAUCAAUAUUAUUAUGACUUUUUUUAUAAGGUUUUAAAUAACCUUAAGAUUGAUUUGAGACUUGAUCAAUCAAAUCAGUUUGCUUUUAUAAUUUUUAUUAAAAAGGACGGCAAAUUGGAUAGCGAAUAUCCAAAAGUGUAUUAUCCAGACAUUAAAACUAAAAGACAUAGUGAAGAUGAUAUAUUUGCUCUACUAAAAGACAUUCUUGAUAAAAAUGAUUGUCUGUAUAAGGAGGCACUGAUAUUUUCUUUGAAUA